GCUAAAACAUGGAAAACAAAAGGGAAUUGGGUCUGGGAAAAGUGAACUGCUGAAAAGAUUAGAAAUUGGCCCAUUUGAUUACAAUGAUGGCCGAUGGAAUUCAAAAUUUUAGCUAAACUGAAUUCAAUUAGUAAAUUUAGCUAGCAAUUAAAUAAGACGAAUUAAUACAAGUUAAUUAAAGAGCUUCUUAAUUUCAGCGAAAUAAAA
rnacentral:lncRNA from 1 species